ACAUCCAGAACCCAGAACCUGCUGUGUACCAGUUAAAAGAUCCUCGGUCUCAGGACAGCACCCUCUGCCUGUUCACCGACUUUGACUCCCAAAUCAAUGUGCCGAAAACCAUGGAAUCUGGAACGUUCAUCACUGACAAAACUGUGCUGGACAUGAAAGCUAUGGAUUCCAAGAGCAAUGGGGCCAUUGCCUGGAGCAACCAGACAAGCUUCACCUGCCAAGAUAUCUUCAAAGAGACCAACGCCACCUACCCCAGUUCAGACGUUCCCUGUGAUGCCACGUUGACUGAGAAAAGCUUUGAAACAGAUAUGAACCUAAACUUUCAAAACCUGUCAGUUAUGGGACUCCGAAUCCUCCUGCUGAAAGUAGCCGGAUUUAACCUGCUCAUGACGCUGAGGCUGUGGUCCAGUUGAGGUCUGCAAGACUGACAGAGCCUGACUCCCAAGCUCCAUCCUCCUCACCCCUCCGCUCCUUCUUCAAGCCAAAAGGAGCCCUCCCACCUCGUCAAGACGGCUGUCUGGGGUCUGGUUGGCCCUGAUUCACAAUCCCACCUGGAUCUCCCAGAUUUGUGAGGAAGGUUGCUGGAGAGCUAAGCACUGCUGCCGCACCCACUCAGCUCCCUCACUGCUGCUGACCAUUCACAAAAAACGGCAGGGGCGGGGCUUCUCCUGGAUCUGAAGACCCCUCCCCCAUGGCAGACUCCCCUGUAAAAUCUCUUGGAGAAUGUUGUAAAAAAAAUAUCGGUUGUUUUUUGUUUUUUUUUUUUUUGCGGGUUUAUUUUUUUAAGCAUCCAUGAAGAAAUGCAUAUUACUCUUUCAUCAAGGUGUAGAAAUUAUCUCAUUGUCUAGACCCUCCUGCUACUGUGUGUAUUGAGCCACAUUGUAUAUUAUUCUGCUGUCCAUGACAUCAUUAAAGGUGAUUCAGAAA